AUUGAACGCUGGCGGCAGGCUUAACACAUGCAAGUCGAACGAGUGGCGGACGGGUGAGUAAUGCUUUGGAAUCUAGCUUCUGGAUGUGGAUAACUACGGGAAACUGUAGCUAAUACCGCGUACCAUACGCUGAGCCCAAGUGGGAUUAGCUAGUUGGUGAGGUAAAGGCACACCAAGCCGACGCUCUCUAGCUGGUCUGACAGGAUGACAAGCCACACGGGGACGGAGAGACGGCCCAGACUCCUACGGGAGGCAGAAGUGGGGAAUAUUGCGAAAUGGGGGAAACCUGACGCAGCCAUGCCGCGGGAAUGAAGAAGGCCUUCGGGUUGUAAAGUUCUUUCGGUAGCGAGGCGUUAACUACAGAAGAAGCACCGGCUAAGGCCGUGCCAGCAGCCGCGGUAAUAC
rnacentral:rRNA from 1 species